AACCUGGUUGAUCCUGCCAGUAGUCAUAUGCUUGUCUCAAAGAUUAAGCCAUGCAUGUGUAAGCACACACUGUUUUAAAAGUGAAGCCGCGAAUGGCUCAUUACAACAGCCACAGUUUAUUAGAACUUACAAUCAUGGAUAACUGUGGUAAUUCUAGAGCUAAUACACGCACAAAAACUUCAACUGAAUUGGUUGAAGUGCUUUUAUUAGAACAAAAACCGAACGGCGUUUGACGAAUGUUGAACGUCGAAACUGUUUGGUGAAUCUGAAUAACUAUUUCUGAUCGCAUGGUCUAGCACCGGCGACAUCACUUUCAAGUGUCUGCCUUAUCAACCUUCGAUGGUAGUCUAUGCGACUACCAUGGUGAUAACGGGUAACGGAGAAUCAGGGUUCGACUCCGGAGAGGGAGCCUGAGAAACGGCUACCACAUCCAAGGAAGGCAGCAGGCGCGCAAAUUACCCACUCCCAGCUUGGGGAGGUAGUGACGAAAAAUAACGAGACGAUUCUCGUUUGAGAAACGUUAUCGAAAUGAGUACGCUUUACACACGCUAACGAGUAGCAAUUGGAGGGCAAGUCUGGUGCCAGCAGCCGCGGUAAUUCCAGCUCCAAUAGCGUAUAUUAAAGUUGCUGCGGUUAAAACGCUCGUAGUUGAAUUGUGGUCUUAGACAACGGUCCCCCUACAUAGGUGUGGCACGGUUGCUCGAGAUCUUCAUUCGUGGUUGCUGUUGUUGCUCUUCAUUGAGUGUCAAUGGUGCCUCGAGAUUUUACUUUGAAAAAAUUAGAGUGCUCAAAGCAGGUUGUGAUGCCUGAAUAAUGGUGCAUGGAAUAAUAGAAUACGAUCUCGGUUCUAUUUUGUUGGUUUUCGAACCGGAGACAAUGAUUGAAAGGAACAGACGGGGGCAUUCGUAUUGCUGCGUUAGAGGUGAAAUUCUUGGAUCGCAGCAAGAUGAACAAUUGCGAAAGCAUUUGCCAAGAAUGUUUUCAUUAAUCAAGAACGAAAGUUAGAGGUUCGAAGGCGAUCAGAUACCGCCCUAGUUCUAACGGUAAACUAUGCCAACCAGCGAUUCGCCGAAGUUCAUUUAAGACUCGGCGAGCAGCUUCCGGGAAACCAAAGUGUUUCGGUUCCGGGGGAAGUAUGGUUGCAAAGCUGAAACUUAAAGGAAUUGACGGAAGGGCACCACCAGGAGUGGAGCCUGCGGCUUAAUUUGACUCAACACGGGAAAACUCACCCGGCCCGGACACUGGAAGGAUUGACAGAUUGACAGCUCUUUCUUGAUUCAGUGGGUAGUGGUGCAUGGCCGUUCUUAGUUGGUGGAGCGAUUUGUCUGGUUAAUUCCGAUAACGAACGAGACUCUACCCUAUUAAAUAGUGACAGUAUUGUAUUUUUUGUGCUGAUCACUUCUUAGAGGGACUGGCAAAUUGAAAGCUGCACGAAAAAGAGCAAUAACAGGUCUGUGAUGCCCUUCGAUGUCCGGGGCUGCACGCGCGCUACAAUGAAAGCGUCAACGUGAGUUACGUCCUUACCUGAAAAGGUUUGGCAAUCGAAUGAAACGUUUUCUUGAAUGGAAUAGGGAAUUGCAAUUGUUUCCCUUGAACGAGGAAUUCCCAGUAAGCGUGAGUCAUUAGCUCGCGUUGAUUACGUCCCUGCCCUUUGUACACACCGCCCGUCGCUACUACCGAUUGGAUGAUUUAGUGAGGUGUUUUGACUGGCGCCAGUAGUCGGAUGUAUUCGGCUUCGCGCCGGGAAAUUUCCCAAACCAAAUCAUCUAGAGGAAGUAAAAGUCGUAACAAGGUUUCCGUAGGUGAACCUGCGGAAGGAUCAUUA
rnacentral:rRNA from 1 species